CACGCCCUAAACGAUGUCGACUGGUUGUUGGGGGUUUGACACCUUCAGUAACGAAGCUAACGCGUGAAGUCGACCGCCUGGGGAGUACGGCCGCAAGGUUAAAACUCAAAGGAAUUGACG
rnacentral:rRNA from 1 species